UCGCGGCCCUUAUAGCUUGUUGGUGAGGUAAUGGCUCACCAAGGCGACGACGGGUAGCCGGCCUGAGAGGGUGACCGGCCACACUGGGACUGAGACACGGCCCAGACUCCUACGGGAGGCAGCAGUGGGGAAUAUUGCACAAUGGGCGAAAGCCUGAUGCAGCGACGCCGCGUGAGGGAUGACGGCCUUCGGGUUGUAAACCUCUUUCAGUAGGGAAGAAGCGAAAGUGACGGUACCUGCAGAAGAAGCGCCGGCUAACUACGUGCCAGCAGCCGCGGUAAUACGUAGGGCGCAAGCGUUAUCCGGAUUUAUUGGGCGUAAAGAGCUCGUAGGCGGUUUGUCGCGUCUGCCGUGAAAGUCCGAGGCUCAACCUCGGAUCUGCGGUGGGUACGGGCAGACUAGAGUGAUGUAGGGGAGACUGGAAUUCCUGGUGUAGCGGUGAAAUGCGCAGAUAUCAGGAGGAACACCGAUGGCGAAGGCAGGUCUCUGGGCAUUUACUGACGCUGAGGAGCGAAAGCAUGGGGAGCGAACAGGAUUAGAUACCCUGGUAGUCCAUGCCGUAAACGUUGGGCACUAGGUGUGGGGGACAUUCCACGUU
rnacentral:rRNA from 1 species